rnacentral:rRNA from 1 species
UACGUAGGGUGCAAGCGUUGUCCGGAAUUAUUGGGCGUAAAGAGCUCGUAGGCGGUCUGUUGCGUCGGCUGUGAAAACCCGGGGCUCAACUCCGGGCCUGCAGCCGAUACGGGCAGACUAGAGUUCGGCAGGGGAGACUGGAAUUCCUGGUGUAGCGGUGAAAUGCGCAGAUAUCAGGAGGAACACCGGUGGCGAAGGCGGGUCUCUGGGCAUGUCCUGACGCUGAGGAGCGAAAGUGUGGGGAGCGAACAGG